rnacentral:rRNA from 1 species
UUUGUUACUUCAAACCAAUCGGACUUCGGUCUGACAUCAAGUGAUAUUGAACAAUUUAGCUGAUCGCACGGUCUAAGAACCGGCGACAUAUCCUUCAAAUGUCUGCCUUAUCAACUUUCGAUGGUAGAUUAUGCGCCUACCAUGGUUGUAACGGGUAACGGAGAAUCAGGGUUUGAUUCCGGAGAGGGAGCCUGAGAAACGGCUACCACAUCCAAGGAAGGCAGCAGGCACGCAAAUUACCCACUCCCGGCACGGGGAGGUAGUGACGAAAAAUAACAAGCUGGUCUCAAUGAGUUCCAGCAUUGUAAUGGGAACAAUUUAAAUCUUUUAUCGAGGAUCUAUUGGAGGGCAAGUCUGGUGCCAGCAGCCGCGGUAAUUCCAGCUCCAAUAGCGUAUAUUAAAGUUGUUGCGGUUAAAAAGCUCGUAGUUGGAUCUAGGAUUAGGGCUACGGUCGUUCAGCUUGGACGUACUGUAUGCCCGACUCCUUUUCUCUAGUAUUCGAUUGUUGCUCUUAAAUGAGUGACUUUAGUUGCUGGAACUUUUACCUUGAAAAAAUUGAAGUGCUCAAGCAGUUAU